rnacentral:rRNA from 1 species
UACGUAGGGUGCAAGCGUUAAUCGGAAUUACUGGGCGUAAAGCGUGCGCAGGCGGCUUUGCAAGACAGAUGUGAAAUCCCCGGGCUUAACCUGGGAACUGCAUUUGUGACUGCAUGGCUAGAGUGCGGCAGAGGGGGAUGGAAUUCCGCGUGUAGCAGUGAAAUGCGUAGAUAUGCGGAGGAACACCGAUGGCGAAGGCAGCUCUCUGGGACGGUACUGACGCUGAGACGCGAAAGCGUGGGGAGCGAACAGG